GACGAGGGGUCCUAGCGUUGUUCGGAAUCACUGGGCGUAAAGCGUUCGUAGGCGGCUCUAUAAGUCGGGUGUGAAAGCCCACGGCUCAACCGUGGAAGUGCAUUCGAAACUGCAGAGCUUGAAUAUGGAAGAGGGUAGUAGAAUUCCUGGUGUAGUGGUGAAAUACGUAGAUAUCAGGAGGAAUACCGGUGGCGAAGGCGGCUACCUGGUCCAAUAUUGACGCUGAGGAACGAAAGUGCGGGGAUCAAACAGG
rnacentral:rRNA from 1 species